GUUUUUGUUCUGGUAGUAGUUGCCAUUGCUGUGGUAGCUGUACUGCUGCUGUUGUUGCUGCUGCUGCUGCUGCAGCGGCUGUGGCUGCUGUUGCUGUUGUUGUUGUUGCUGCUGCAGUUGCUGUUGCUGCGGCUCAAUGAUGAUCAAAUUUCCAGCGCCAUUAAAGCCAGAAUUUGUGCCGGCAGCAGCAGCAGCAGCAGCCGCCGCCGCCGCAGCCUGCUGUUGUUGGUCAUUUGGAUUUGUGAUCAUGGCAGCCAUGAUG
rnacentral:sRNA from 1 species